UGGAUUUAAAAGUUUUAACAAAAAUAUUGCUGUUCAAAAGACAGUGCGAUAUAAAUUCAGUAUCUGGCAUCGUUGGUUUUUUUGCUUUGUGCAUGUUAGACCUGGUAUUUCUACUGAUACAGUA